UACGAAGGGGGCUAGCGUUGCUCGGAAUCACUGGGCGUAAAGGGUGCGUAGGCGGGUCUUUAAGUCAGGGGUGAAAUCCUGGAGCUCAACUCCAGAACUGCCUUUGAUACUGAAGAUCUUGAGUUCGGGGAGAGGUGAGUGGAACUGCGAGUGUAGAGGUGAAAUCGUAGAUAUUCGCAAGAACACCAGUGGCGAAGGCGGACUCACUGGCCCGGUACUGACGCUGAGGUGCGAAAGCGUGGGGAG
rnacentral:rRNA from 1 species